rnacentral:lncRNA from 1 species
AAAAAAAAAAUUCUCAUCCCCUUUAUAAGUAGGGCAUGUGGUCUCUGUCUUCAACACAACACCAUCACUUUCUUUUUCCUCUUCUCCACCUUCUCUCAAAUACUCAAAAACCAUAAUCAUUCCUCCAUUGAUUGAGCUCCAAUAAAGCGUCAAAACCAAAAAGCUUCAACCACAAAAGUGCUUUACUGCUAAAGGGAAAUCCAUUUUAACUAAUAAACUCAAGGUGAAAAAUCAUUUUAUCUCCCUCUCUUUCUUUACAUGCGGAUUAUUGGUUUGACCCUUCUUGUUUGUUGUUUUUGGUUUUGUUGAUGCUUGUAUUAAUGAAAAAUAAAUCCUUUCGCUCCUCUUUUCCUCUCAAACUCGCGAGCUCAACCAAUAGAGGGAGAUGAUUUUUGUUUGUGUGCUUUUGGUAAUAUGAAAUUGAUGUUGUGUGUUUACUUGAAAAACUAGAAGAGAAACAAAUUGGCUCAUAGUUUGUUUGAUCCACCAAUAACUCCAUAUUUCCUUUCUUUUGAAUAAACUGGAAGUGUCAAGUCGAUACAUGUGCUAAACUGUGCUAUCUGCAAUGAGCAUUUUAUGUAUGAACUUGAAUGUUGAAAGUGUAAGUAAUAAGAUGUAUCUGAGAUGCUCUUUGUCAGUGUAGAGUGCUUAGUGAGGAAGAUGUGUAUUAAUUAGGAUGUGUGAAGUAUGUCUGGUGUACUACAUGAUUGUUUGGUGUAUAUGAUAUUAUGAUGCAAUGCCUAUUAUAAUACUGGUAUAAGAGAAUCAAUUAGGGUGGCAUGUCAUACAACUUGGCCCUUCUAUUUCGUAUGCAGAUUAUUGAUCUUGACAGAGGAUUGGUUUAAAUGGUGGAACAAAAUAGGUGAAAUGUGAAUUGAAUUUUAAAGGAUGACUAGAUACAUUUCAAUUAGAAACAAGAUAGAGAAGUUUGUCUUAACAAAUUGAUUUGUUCUACAACCUAAUAAUAUUUAAUAUAUUUUGAAAGGAAUUAAACUAUUUCAAAGAGUUAGUACUUUGAAAUUAGAAAAAUAUUUAUUGAUAUUUUUGUGUGUGAUUAUGAGGUAAAUACUUCGAUUAAGUAUUUAAUCUUUAAAAAUAUAGUGAAUCAAACUUGUAGUUAUUGAGAAAAAAAAUUGUGGUUGUGUGAAAAAUUUUAAGAAAAAUAAUUUAAAAUGUUUCGAAUAAUUGUUAGUGAAUUCUCAGAAAAAUUGAAGGAUGUUUAUGUUGAGACAAACUCUAUAUUUAAAGUUUUGAUGAAAAUAAACAAAGGUUAAUUAAGAUAGUUAAUUAUGAUUCUAAAAUGUUAUGUUAAUUUAACUUGUGCUUUUGAGUGAAUUUAAUUAAAGAACAGAAUCAAGCAAAGCAAAGAAAAACAGCUCAAAACUGAAACAAGAUCAUUCUAGACAAAACGGAGAACGAUCUCCAGAUUCAAGAUUGAUUGUCACAGCAUCUUGACCAAUCAAUAUCCACCAUUUUAACAAAGUCUUUGCUUAUGAAUUUUAUACCAAUAUCAUCAGUACAUGACAAGGAACAAAUAUGAUUCAUCUCACUACGAGAAGGUUCUCGAAUCAUUAAAAUAAAAGGACUCGAAACACACCAGUUGAAAAAGUUUGAAACCACUUAAAUCAAAAUAUCAAGAAAGUUUGAUCAACCUUAAUAUAUGUUAAGACAUUACAAAGACAUCCAGAAAGAUCAAAACAGGAACUCCAAAUUGAUCAUCAAAUCUCCAGAAAGAUCCAAUUGAUAGAUCAAGAUUGAUAAUCAAUCUUCGUUUUCUGCAGAAUUAGAGCAGUGCUCUGUUUACUUCUGCAAUGGCUUAUAAUAUUUCUCCAAACUAUUUUGGCUAGAUUCAAGGCUCCAGAUCGAAGUUGUAGCAUCAAAGAUUAAGUGAGAAGCUUCAAAUGCCCUUAAACUAGAAGAAAAAACUGAUUAAGCAAAGUUGUAACAGACUCAGUCAAAUCAAUUUUAACUUAUUCAAAGGCUGGAUUAUUUUUAUUCUCAUAUAUUGGUUUUGGUCAAAAGUAAUAGAGCACUACCAACAACUCUUUUUGACCCUUAUUAAUUGCUUCCAAACGCCUAUAAAAGGAAGACCAAUAUCCAGAAAUUAAGCAAGAAAUUCAAGUGCUGUCAAUUCCCAUAAUCAUUCACAUUUACAUACUUGAAGUUCUCAAUUUUUACAAAGAAGAAGCAGUUAUAAAUUCCAACAUCAGAUUGCGUGAUUACUACUGAUUUCUUUGUAAAGAAUCGAAUCUCAAACAAGAGUUGAGAAAUCUCAGAUUCUAUCAAAAAACAAUCUUAUUGUAAAAACUCAAACUAUAAGAGUUAUAUUAUAGUUUGUUUAGAUUGUAUUAAAUCUUAUCAAAGUUAGAUAGGUGUUGCAUUUACUUUCUGGAUGGAAAGAAAUAGAGAUUGAAACAGAUCAAGGUUGAUCUGAACUAGGUGCUGUAAAAUCAAGAAGGUUCUUUGUUUUAAACACUUAGUAGAAAAACUCACAGUGUGAGGACUGGACGUAGCCCGAGUUGGAUGAAAUAGGAUAUAUCUUUGUGUGGUAUUCUCUAUCUUAUCUCUUUAUUUAUUAAGCUUGAUUGAUUAACUAAGAUAAAACACAAACUGAUUUUCUAUUUUGUAAGCUAACCAAGAACGUUCUCUGUUUUAAGAAUCGAAUCUCAAACAAGAGUUGAGAAAUCUCAGAUUCUAUCAAAAAACAAUCUUAUUGUAAAAACUCAAACUAUAAGAGUUAUAUUAUAGUUUGUUUAGAUUGUAUUAAAUCUUAUCAAAGUUAGAUAGGUGUUGCAUUUACUUUCUGGAUGGAAAGAAAUAGAGAUUGAAACAGAUCAAGGUUGAUCUGAACUAGGUGCUGUAAAAUCAAGAAGGUUCUUUGUUUUAAACACUUAGUAGAAAAACUCACAGUGUGAGGACUAGACGUAGCCCAAGUUGGGUGAACCAGGAUAUAUCUUUGUGUGGUAUUCUCUAUCUUAUCUCUUUAUUUAUUAAGCUUGAUUGAUUAACUAAGAUAAAACACAAACUGAUUUUCUAUUUUGUAAGCUAACCAAGAACGUUCUCUGUUUUCUGUUUUCUUAACCAAUAUCAUUCUUGAGUUAAAACUUGAGUUUAUUUCAGGAAUUUUUAAAAAGAUAUAUUUACAAUUCAAACCCCCUUCCUUGUAUAUUAACAUUGCUACUUCAGUUUAUUUCUAAAAAUAUAUUUUUAUAAGUUGAAAAUGUGUAUAGUGAAUAAUAAUGCUAUUAGUCUUUACUCGUUUUAAACUCUUUUAGUAAAUACACUCUAAGGGGAUUAGGAGUAAGAAAUGAUUUGUAAGAUAAUUAAAGUUUUAAGGACUAAUUUGAUAAAGUCAAACACUAUUUGAUUGAAGGUGUCAGCACAAGCGAGAUUUUUCGUUGUGUUGGAUUGUGGUAGUGAUAACGGUUGAAAAAACUAUAAUUAAGGUAAGGAUUUCUUUCAAAUUUUUAGUUUGAACAUAGGGACCUUAUAUGUAUGAUUGAUGUAUGAUUGAUGUGUGAAUAUGUGAUUAUUAAUAUUGAUGUGAUAAUACGUGAUGCUACAUAUUAAUAAUUUUAUUGAGGAGAAUAUGUUUUGAGUAUGCUCUAUGAAAAAUUAUUAGUGUGUAAUGAGUAUUAAAAGGGGAGUCUUUUAAUAGCUAUAUUUACAUAAUGAUUGUUGUGAAAGAGUAAGAGUAUGCUCAUGUAUUUCAUAAUUAGUGGUGAUUGUGAUGGACCACUGUGUUAGUGGUGGCGUGAUGAACUACGAUGUUAUUGGUGGCCGUGAUGGACUACGAUGUUAGUUGUGACCUUGAUGGGUCAUAGUGUUAGUGGUGAUCGUGAUGGGUCACGUGAUGGUUCUAUAAGUUGAUUGGUUCAUCUUAUCCAUACGAGGACUUAUUUGUCGUGUNNNNNNNNNNNNNNNNNNNNNNNNNNNNNNNNNNNNNNNNNNNNNNNNNNNNNNNNNNNNNNNNNNNNNNNNNNNNNNNNNNNNNNNNNNNNNNNNNNNNNNNNNNNNNNNNNNNNNNNNNNNNNNNNNNNNNNNNNNNNNNNNNNNNNNNNNNNNNNNNNGUAGGUCUAUGAUAGACUGUACUAUGGUAAAUCGUGAUGAUCUGUGAUAGGUGGCACCACAGUAACUAAUAUUGGUCUGUGAGAUGCGGUACAAUUAUGAUUUACGUCCCUCGAGGAGGAUUUGGAAAUUCCAAAAUCACGUGCAUUGACAUAUAAGCAUUGCAUUAGGGUGCUUGGCACGCGAUUCAUGUUUGUUAUAAUAUGUUAUUUGUAUAUACAUACUCUGUUAUUGUUUGUUAUCAUGUCGUAAUUGCUAAGUGUUAUUGUUUAUCUUUAUGACAUAAUUGUUAAAUGUUAUUUGUUAAUUUCAGUUGGUGACCCUUUACAUUAUUGUGGAAAUUGAGUUUUGCCCUCAGAUGAUACCUGAGUUCGUUCCACCGACUGUUACCAAGAUAAUAGAAACGUCGUUAGAAUUCACUAACUGACAUUCGCCGACUGCUUGGGUAUACGACCCCAUCUCAAGCAGGGCUACUUAUACGGGGAGGGUAGUGACGACAAGUAGGAGAGUUGGAGUAGUAUAUCUCGUGGAGCUCAUGAGAGGAUCGACUAUUCGGUACCCUCAGGAUUGGUGCUCGGGAUGAAUGGAGCAUGGGAAGAUGCAGAUGAUGCCUUAGUUAGAGUUGAGGCGGAUGCCAUCGUAAGAGUUGGGGAUACAGUGGUUUGGACGGGGACUGGAGGGAAGUAUAAGGGGUCGAUGCCAGUGGGAAGAGAUAUUACAGGACUGUCUAGGUGGGUCGAGCCAGUUCUUCCACUUCCGGUGAAUGAUCCCUUACCGACUAUCACUGAAGUAGUGGAUUGUUUUGAGAUUCCAGCGUCGUCGAAGCCACCUAUCUCGUGGGUGGAUUUGACUUCUAAGGAGAUUGAUCCAUCUAUGACUGAUGAGAAGGAGGAAGUUAAUUUGAAGAGAGAUAAUGCAUCAGAUGGGACUUGUGCAGAGUGUAGAGGUCACCCUUAUUACUGUAGUUAUUAGUGGAUGAUCAGAUUAGUUUUUGGUUGCAUAGGGUCUUAGUGUCUUUCUUUUGGUGGUUGUACUUAUUUUAUUUUGGGAUGACUGUAUCUAUGCCAUAACUUGACAGUUGACUUUUUGGUGGGUCCAUGUUUCAUUUUUUGACAUGACCAUGGGGAGAUAUCAUUCUUGGAGUAGUACUUAUGUGCAGGUGCUUGCCGAGAAUACCCUAGGGGUAUGAGCGAUGUCUGAUAGGUCUCAUAGUCCCAGUGUAUUUUCUAUUUGUAUGUUGUAGAUUAUUGGUUCAAAAACUAUUUUAACUUGUUUGUAUAUAUAAUAUAACUAUUUAUGACUCUUGUCGUUUGGUUUUACGACAUAUUAUUUUAUUAAGUUAUCUAAAAAAAAAUGCACUCGCGCUGUUAAAAUCCAGGGUGUUACAUUGUGGUAUCAGAGCUUUGGUUAGAUUGUAUGUCGACCUGUAGGUUGGGAGUCGUUAUCUGAUCAUGCGUCGGGGUAAGUUGUUAGAGUAGUUUGGUCUUGUGUAGUUGUUGUGUGUUGAUGUAGUCGAAAGUUAUCUUUUCGAAUUUUUCUAAGUGAUGUUAAGAUUUCUUCUUGAUGAUUGAUUUUGUAGGAAACAAUGCCUCCAUAAAGGAACAACGCUGCAAGAGUCAACAUCAACAUGAAUGAUCAAAUGGUUGAAGCAAUGAAU